rnacentral:lncRNA from 1 species
UAACGGCCGUAUUCACCACAAUACCUUAAAACCAGUUUCAGAGAUCAAUUCAAUUUUUCGUAUUCACCAUGGUAUAAAUCGCGACUCAAGCCGCUGAAAAUGAAACGUGUUUUAAGCCGCCUUUCUGUGCGGCUUAAGUCACGGUUUCAAGAUGGACGACUAUGAUAUGUUCCACGAUCUUUGUCUUACGCGUGAGUUACAGCAAAAUAACUUGUUUAGAGGGCGACAACCACGUAAAAUUUACUCUGUUCGAAAUGAGGACAUAGAUAUGUUAGACGAUUUUGACUUUCACAUGAGAUAUAGAGUUAGCAAAGAUGUUGUGCUAUCGCUUGUUGACAGAUUUGGUCAGAGACUGAAAUUCGAUAGCAACAGGAAUAAUUGUCUCUCAGCGUUACCUUUACCUGUACAAGUU